CCGAUGGCUUUGGAGAGAUUCUUAAUUUGGUAUCUUUGUUGUCUCAUCCACCCAACCCUAUUCUUCCGCUGCUUCCCCCUUUUUAUGUAUGGAGGUGAGAGAGAGAGAGAGAGAGAGAGUUCUGUGUGUUCUUGGGGUGUACUAGUUGUUCUUGUAAAUAUGAUCUGUUUCAAUGAUCUAAAGCCAAAAAAAAAAAAGAUAAAAAGGUGGUGUUGUGAUCUGUGCUUGCUUGAUCUGAUCACAACCAAGAAUUGGGUUCACAAAGCUACUGUAAGAAAUCAAGGAAUUAAUUUGUGUUUUUUGCAUCCAAGCAACAGGAUUGCUUUCAGUGACGAAGAUGAUUGUCUCCAGCAUAUUAAUGAAUUGCCUGUAUUCUGAUCAAGCAAUUGGCAGCUGGUGAUUGGAGUCAUCCACGGCCUACCCAAUUUUACCCAGGGAUGGGUUGUUGUCAUCAAGAAGCCCCGAGAAACCUGUGAAACUAUCCACAACGAAUCUUCCUGAUCAAAAGUUGCAACUCCUACAGAUCCACAGUGCAAAAGGAGGAGGAAAAGUGGCACGAGCCCUUUGAUUGCCUGUCUUCACGGGAUGCCAAUGCCUCAUCAAGUGGAAAAGCUUACGACAGCCAAGCCUUGCCGUCAGCGGUGGGUUGUUUCUGCUGCUCCUCCUCCUCCUCGGACAGAUUGUCUUCAUGCAGCCAGCUCCUGGGAGACAUGCAUGCAGCAAGGAGUGAGGAGGCCUGCCCAUGGGCCUCCUUAAGCUGAUGUACAGUAUAUCAUAUACAUCGACUCUCGUAACUUGAAAUUAUGUUCUCAUUAAACUGCAGGCUACAUGACCCUCUGCUUGUGAUCUUUCUCAAAUCUCCUGCACCCGAGGACCCAAAGUCAAACCAAUCGUGGCUCGGUGGGAGGUCGACGUCGUUGGGCGUGUAGUGCGCGGCUGGACUGGUCGGUCUCACCCACUUGGCCGCACAUGUUCGUUCCAUUUUUCCCUUAAGGUAUGGAUCCUCUCUCUAUCCACGAGGUGAUGGAUGGAGUUGAUUAGAUUGCUGCAUGCACUCUUUAGGUCGCGCCCAUCAUCCGCAUCACAACCCUUGGAGGGUCUUGUCAUGUUCGGAAUCCUAGAAUGUAAAGCAUUGCAUUGCAGAUUUGGUAUCUCAAGUGGAACUUGUGAAAUAGGAGGCCAUUUCCAUGUGAAAGAAUAAAGGAUGCAAGGAGAGAAGGAAGUUCGAAGGAUGCUAAAGAUUUAUAUGAGGAAUGCAGCAUAUGCUUUAUGAAGAUUCCUAUUAGUUUGUGCGUGUGUCGUUUGAAUUCGGAUUGGCUACCAUAGUGGAGUGAAGGGAUGAUAAGUAAGAAUAAUUACUCUCUUCUGGUAUCAAAAGUCAAGUUGCUAAGAUUUUAUCAUUGCACUAGAGAUUACUAAAGAGGUACGAGGAAUAAAUAUAUGAUAUCUUGUGCC